rnacentral:snoRNA from 1 species
GAAUAGUGAUGGAUUGAUGGCAGGCCUUUCUCUGUGGGCCUCUCAUACUAUGUCAAUGCCAGAGGAGCGUGCAGCCCUGAACCACUGCCCAGCUCCUCCUCACUGGUGGGCUGUGAGCACUGAAGGCAGCUAUACAGGG